rnacentral:rRNA from 1 species
UACGUAGGGGGCAAGCGUUAUCCGGAAUUAUUGGGCGUAAAGAGUGCGUAGGUGGUUACUUAAGCGCGGGGUUUAAGGCAAUGGCUCAACCAUUGUUCGCCCUGCGAACUGGGUUACUUGAGUGCAGGAGAGGAAAGCGGAAUUCCUAGUGUAGCGGUGAAAUGCGUAGAUAUUAGGAGGAACACCAGUGGCGAAGGCGGCUUUCUGGACUGUUACUGACACUGAGGCACGAAAGUGUGGGGAGCAAA